rnacentral:rRNA from 1 species
ACGCGAAGAACCGUUACCUGGGCUUGAACUGUAGUGGAUCGUCCUCAGAAACGAGGAUUUUCCCUUCGGGGACGUGCUAUAGAGGUGCUGCACGGCUGUCGUCAGCUCGUGUCGUGAGAUGUUGGGUUAAGUCCCGCAACGAGCGCAACCCCUAUCCCUAGUUGCCAUCGGGUAAUGCCGGGAACUUCUAGGGAGACUGCCCGGGAUAACCGGGAGGAAGGUGGGGAUGACGUCAAGUCCUCAUGGCCUCUAUGCCCAGGGCUACACACGUGCUACAAUGGCCGGUACAAAGGGUAGCUAAGUCGCAAGACCCAGCCAAUCCCAAAAAACCGUCUCAGGUGCAGUCUGCAACUCGACUGCAUGAAGUUGGAAUCGCUAGUAAUCGCAGAUCAGCACGCUG